rnacentral:rRNA from 1 species
UACGGGGGGAGCAAGCGUUGUUCGGAUUUACUGGGCGUAAAGGGCGCGUAGGCGGCGUGCCAAGUCACUUGUGAAAUCUCCGGGCUUAACUCGGAACGGUCAAGUGAUACUGUCGUGCUAGAGUACAGAAGGGGCAACUGGAAUUCUCGGUGUAGCGGUGAAAUGCGUAGAUAUCGGGAGGAACAUCUGUGGCGAAGGCGGCCCCCUGGUUGGAUACUGACGCUGAUGCGCGAAAGCGUGGGGAGCAAACAGG